rnacentral:rRNA from 1 species
UACGGAGGAUGCGAGCGUUAUCCGGAUUUAUUGGGUUUAAAGGGUGCGUAGGCGGCGUCCUAAGUCAGCGGUAAAAGCCCGGGGCUCAACCCCGGCGAGCCGUUGAUACUGGGGUGCUCGAGUUGGAGAGAAGUAUGCGGAAUGCGCGGUGUAGCGGUGAAAUGCAUAGAUAUCGCGCAGAACUCCGAUUGCGAAGGCAGCAUGCCGGCUCCACACUGACGCUGAGGCACGAAAGCGUGGGUAUCGAACAGG